rnacentral:lncRNA from 1 species
GACACGCGGCUCCAGCCAUAGCUGCUCGCAGGUCCCGGAUGCCUCUGUGCCUUUGCUUCUGCAAUUCCUUCUGCUUGGAACCUCUCUCCUCUUCCUACACCUUAGCCCUCAACCUUGGAGGAAUUAGAAUGGAAAGAUUUGUCACGGUGAGCCAAUACCAGGGGGAAGGGGAGAACAGAGGCAGGGGCCUGCUCUGCUUUACUUCUCACACCCACAGUCCCCUUCCUAUGGUCAGGAGCCACUGGCCAGCAACACAGCAACUCCUGCCUCUGUCCGCCCUCUAGGAAUGAGCUGAAAGAAAGGCACCAACAGACAACAAGCAAGUUCCGGAUAUUCUUUGGAAUCAUGGGUGGUCCUUGUUUCGCCCUCAUCUUAAAGCCCUCCAGACCCCAAACCAGUGUCCUUCUCCCUCCUCCCUUCCUUUUCUAGAAUUCCUCAUUUAUUUUGAGCCUUAUAACUCAGUCUUUAAAAAUUGCCUUUGUGAAGGCUUUUCUGAUCUCAAACUGUUUCCUGUGAUAUUAAUAGGAGUUAUGGGGAAAAAGGAGUUUUGUGGCCAAAUAAAUAUGGGAAGUGUCGUAUUAAGCGGCAUUAAUCAGGCUUCCUGCUGGCCCGAGAGAAGAAGCUACUGUGAAUUUAAUCUCUAGAAGGGGCAGAUGGUAUACAGCGGCUCUCAACCUCAAUUACUUUGAAGCAAGCUGCCCCCGCCCUCCGUAUUUCCUUUUUUGGCCAAGCGUUUCUGGGACUGAUAGUCCAUAGGAUGCAACUGAGGAAAUUCUGUCUGGGGCAGCUUUCCAGCGGGCUUGUAUACUGUUGAGCUGUGCUCACACUCACC